AUGUGUCAGGGCACACACAAACACCCACACACGCGUGGUCACACGCAGCUCCGUGUCAGGGCACACACACACACACGUGUGGUCCCACACAAUGACACGCGUGUCCCCGCCGCUCUCCUCCUUGUCAGGGCACACACACACACACGCGUGUUCACACGCCAUGACAUGCGUGUCCCUGACUCUUUCCCCCGUCUCAGGGCACACACACACACACACACGCGUGCGCGCGGUCACACACGCAAUGACAUGCGUGUCCCUGACUCUUUCCCCCGUCUCAGGGCACACACAUGGUUCUCACACACACACGUGUGUUCACACACCAUGACACGCGUGUCCCCGACUCUUUCCCCCGUCUCAGGGCACACACGUGGAUCUCACACACACACACACAGGUGGUCACACACCAUGACACACGUGUCCCCACCACUCUCCCCCGUCUCAGGGCACAGACACACACACACACGCGUGUUCACACACAAUGACACACAUGUCCCUGACUCUUUCCCCCGUCUCAGGGCACACACACACACACACACACACACACACCAUGACACGCGUGUCCCCGACUCUUUCCCCCGUCUCAGGGCACACAGACACACACACGCGUGUUCACUCGCCAUGACACGCGUGUCCCCGCCGCUCUCCCCCAUCUCAGGGCACACACACACACACACUUGUUCACACGCCAUGACACGCGUGCCCCUGACUCUUUCUCCCAUCUCAGGGCACACACACACACGCACACGCCAUGACACGCGUGUCCCCGACUCUUUCCCCCGUCUCAGGGCACACACGUGGGUCUCACUUACACACACACACAUGGGUCUCACACACACACACAUGGGUCUCACUUACACACACACACGUGGGUCUCACUUACACGUGGGUCUCACUUACACACGUGGGUCUCACUUUCACACACACAUGUGUAUCUCACUUUCACACACACGUGGGUCUCACUUUCACACACACACGUGGGUCUCACUUUCACACACACACGUGGGUCUCACUUUCACACACACGUGGGUCUCACACACACGUGGGUCUCACACACACACACGUGUAUCUCACUUUCACACACGUGGGUCUCACUUUCACACACACGUGGGUCUCACACACACGUGGGUCUCACACACACACGUGCAUCUCACUUUCACACACGUGGGUCUCACUUUCACACACACGUGGGUCUCACUUUCACACACACGUGGGUCUCACACACACACACGUGGGUCUCACUUUCACACACACGUGGGUCUCACACACACGUGGGUCUCACACACACACACGUGGGUCUCACACACACACACGGGUCUCACUU
rnacentral:lncRNA from 1 species